AGUGAACGCUGGCGGUAGGCCUAACACAUGCAAGUCGAACGGCAGCACAGUAAGAGCUUGCUCUUACGGGUGGCGAGUGGCGGACGGGUUAGGAAGACAUCGGAAUCUACUUUUUCGUGGGGGAUAACGUAGGGAAACUUACGCUAAUACCGCACACCACCUACGGGUGAAAGCAGGGGAUCUUCCGACCUUUCGCGAUUGAAUAGGCCGAUGUCGGAUUAGCUAGUUGGCGGGGUAAAGGCCCACCAAGGCGACGAUCCGUAGCUGGUCUGAGAGGAUGAUCAGCCACACUGGAACUGAGACACGGUCCAGACUCCUACGGGAGGCAGCAGUGGGGAAUAUUGGACAAUGGGCGCAAGCCUGAUCCAGCCAUACCGCGUGGGUGAAGAAGGCCUUCGGGUUGUAAAGCCCUUUUGUUGGGAAAGAAAAGCAGCAGGUUAAUACCCCGCUGUUCUGACGGUACCCAAAGAAUAAGCACCGGCUAACUUCGUG
rnacentral:rRNA from 1 species